rnacentral:tRNA from 1 species
GCUCCUGUGGCUCAGUCGGUUAGCGCGUCGUACUUAUAAUGCGAAGGUCGGGAGUUCGAUCCUCCCCAGGAGCA